rnacentral:rRNA from 1 species
GAUGAACGCUAGCUACAGGCUUAACACAUGCAAGUCGAGGGGCAGCAUGGUCUUAGCUUGCUAAGGCCGAUGGCGACCGGCGCACGGGUGAGUAACACGUAUCCAACCUGCCGUCUACUCUUGGACAGCCUUCUGAAAGGAAGAUUAAUACAAGAUGGCAUCAUGAUUCCGCAUGUUCACAUGAUUAAAGGUAUUCCGUUAGACGAUGGGGAUGCGUUCCAUUAGAUAGUAGGCGGGGUAACGGCCCACCUAGUCUUCGAUGGAUAGGGGUUCUGAGAGGAAGGUCCCCCACAUUGGAACUGAGACAAGGUCCAAACUCCUACGGGAGGCAGCAGUGAGGAAUAUUGGUAAAUGGGCGAGAGCCGGAACCAGCCAAGUAGCGUGAAGGAUGACUGCCCUAUGGGUUGUAAACUUCUUUUAUAAAGGAAUAAAGUCGGGUAUGGAUACCCGUUUGCAUGUACUUUAUGAAUAAGGAUCGGCUAACUCCGUG